UGGGGCCUCGCUCGCUCCCGACCCGGUUGCAAGUGUUGCGGUGGGAGAAAGUCGCGUCCGCAUCGGAGGGGAAGCGCCGUCAUGCCUAAGUAUUAUGAGGACAAGCCGCAGGGCGGCGCGUGCGCGGGCCUGAAGGAGGACCUGGGCGCGUGUCUGCUGCAGUCGGACUGUGUGGUCCAGGUAGCGCGGCCGGGCGCUCCCGGUGGUGACGACCCCUGUCCCAGGCAGGCCUGGCUCGGCGGAGGGCAGCGGGUCGCCCGCGGCGGCGGUUGGAGUUAACCAUCCCGGGCGUAGGUCACAGCUCGGGCUCACUGAACGAAGGAAAAUCACCUCGGCAGUGUUUGAAGGAAGGAUACUGCAACUCUUUGAAGUACGCAUUUUUUGAGUGUAAAAGAUCAGUGUUGGAUAACAGGGCAAGAUUCAGAGGAAGAAAAGGAUAUUGAUGCAUUAUGUUGAAGCCAACAUGGAAAACAACAAAUAUUUUCCCUGGUCAUUAACACAAAGAAGCCAAAACAGGAAACAUACUUUUUACUACAUCUGUUUGGUUGGACCAGAUUUCCCCUCCGUGGAACACUGAAGAAAGUGGAUGAGUUGUUUUCGAAUAUGUAUAAAGUAAAUGAUUCUCUUGAUCCAAGUUAUUUUUAGAAGAAAAACCUAAUUGAACAGGUAUGGGUUGGGAGCAUAAUAAAUGUGUUUUGAGAAUUGUUCUAAAGCACAGAAAAUGGAAAGACUGUUAUUUGCAAACUUGACUCUUCAAUUGAAUUACCCAAUUAGUACAGGCCACUGAUUUGACUGACACAGUCGAUAACAUGCAGCCUAUCCAGAAGGUGUCUGUUGGGAAA
rnacentral:lncRNA from 1 species